rnacentral:rRNA from 1 species
UACGGAGGGUGCAAGCGUUGUUGGGAAUUAUUGGGCGUAAAGCGCGUGUGGGCGGCUAUUUAAGUCUGAUGUGAAAGCCCGGGGCUCAACCCCGGAAGUGCAUUGGAAACUGGAUAGCUUGAGUACGGGAGAGGGUAGCGGAAUUUCGAGUGUAGGGGUGAAAUCCAUAGAUAUUCGAAGGAACACCGGUGGCGAAGGCGGCUACCUGGACCGAUACUGACGCUGAGACGCGAAAGCGUGGGGAGAAACA